ACGAACGCUGGCGGCACGCCUCACACAUGCAAGUCGAACGAGACCUUCGGGUCUAGUGGCGCACGGGUGCGUAACGCGUGGGAACCUGCCCUUAGGUUCGGAAUAACUCCCCGAAAGGGGUGCUAAUACCGGAUAAUGUCUUCGGACCAAAGAUUUAUCGCCUUUGGAUGGGCCCGCGUUGGAUUAGCUAGUUGGUAGGGUAAAAGCCUACCAAGGCGACGAUCCAUAGCUGGUCUGAGAGGAUGAUCAGCCACACUGGGACUGAGACACGGCCCAGACUCCUACGGGAGGCAGCAGUGGGGAAUAUUGGACAAUGGGCGAAAGCCUGAUCCAGCAAUGCCGCGUGAGUGAUGAAGGCCUUAGGGUUGUAAAGCUCUUUUACCCGGGAUGAUAAUGACAGUACCGGGAGAAUAAGCUCCGGCUAACUCCGUG
rnacentral:rRNA from 1 species